CACAAGCGGUGGAUGAUGUGAUUAAUUCGAUGCAACGCGAAAACCUUACUACCCUUGACAUGUCUGGAACCUUGCUGGAGAGGCGAGGGUGCCUUCGGGAGCCAGAACACAGGUGCUGCAUGGCUGUCGUCAGCUCGUGUCGUGAGAUGUUGGGUUAAGUCCCGCAACGAGCGCAACCCUUGUCAUUAGUUGCCAUCAUUUAGUUGGGCACUCUAAUGAGACUGCCGGUGACAAACCGGAGGAAGGUGGGGAUGACGUCAAGUCCUCAUGGCCCUUAUGGGUAGGGCUUCACACGUCAUACAAUGGUCGGUACAGAGGGUUGCCAACCCGCGAGGGGGAGCUAAUCCCACAAAGCCGAUCGUAGUCCGGAUCGCAGUCUGCAACUCGACUGCGUGAAGUCGGAAUCGCUAGUAAUCGCAGGUCAGCAUACUGCGGUGAAUACGUUCCCGGGCCUU
rnacentral:rRNA from 1 species